rnacentral:rRNA from 1 species
AAUGAACGUUGGCGGCGUGGAUUAGGCAUGCAAGUCGUGCGGAAAGGCCCCGCAAGGGGUACUCGAGCGGCGUAAGGGAUAGCAAUACGUGGAUUACCUGCCCUCAGGACGGGGAUAGCUGCUGGAAACGGCAAUUAAUACCCUAUGACGUCUUCGGACCAAAGGUGUAAUUCCGCCUGAGGAGGGGUCCGCGCCCUAUUAGCUAGUUGGUGAGGUAACGGCUCACCAAGGCCACGAUGGGCAGCGGGUGUGAGAGCAUGACCCGCAUCACUGGGACUGAGACACUGCCCAGACACCUACGGGUGGCUGCAGUCGAGGAUCUUCGGCAAUGGGCGAAAGCCUGACCGAGCGACGCCGCGUGCGGGAUGAAGGCCUUCGGGUUGUAAACCGCUUUCGGAGGGGAGGAAGUUCCGGUGGGUUCACCCAUCGGUUUGACCUAUCCUCGGAAGAAGGACGGGCUAAGUUCGUGCCAGCAGCCGCGGUAAUAC